GAGUUUGAUCCUGGCUCAGAACGAACGCUGGCGGCGUGGAUAAGACAUGCAAGUCGAACGAGAGAAUUGCUAGCUUGCUAAUAAUUCUCUAGUGGCGCACGGGUGAGUAACACGUGAGUAACCUGCCCCCGAGAGCGGGAUAGCCCUGGGAAACUGGGAUUAAUACCGCAUAGUAUCGAAAGAUUAAAGCAGCAAUGCGCUUGGGGAUGGGUUCGCGGCCUAUUAGUUAGUUGGUGAGGUAACGGCUCACCAAGGCGAUGACGGGUAGCCGGUCUGAGAGGAUGUCCGGCCACACUGGAACUGAGACACGGUCCAGACACCUACGGGUGGCAGCAGUCGAGAAUCAUUCACAAUGGGGGAAACCCUGAUGGUGCGACGCCGCGUGGGGGAAUGAAGGUCUUCGGAUUGUAAACCCCUGUCAUGUGGGAGCAAAUUAAAAAGAUAGUACCACAAGAGGAAGAGACGGCUAACUCUGUGCCAGCAGCC
rnacentral:rRNA from 1 species